rnacentral:tRNA from 1 species
GCAGGAUUGAUGGAAUGGAAUACAUGACAGCCUCAAAAGCUGUAUUUUAAGGGUUCGAAUCCCUUAUCCUGCA